GGUAGCCUACGGGGGGCAGCAGUGAGGAAUAUUGGUCAAUGGGCGCGAGCCUGAACCAGCCAAGUCGCGUGAGGGAAGACGGUCCUAUGGAUUGUAAACCUCUUUUGUCGGGGAGCAAAAGACGCCACGUGUGGCGUUCCGAGAGUACCCGAAGAAAAAGCAUCGGCUAACUCCGUGCCAGCAGCCGCGGUAAUACGGAGGAUGCGAGCGUUAUCCGGAUUUAUUGGGUUUAAAGGGUGCGCAGG
rnacentral:rRNA from 1 species